GUUUCAUUAUGAUUAUUACAUGCUUCCUAUUCCCAUGAAACUGAUUUUCCAUAUUUAUUCUUUCUCAGGUGACAUAAUCUGAAGUUUUAAUGGAUAAUCAUAUAUACCUAUUGGAUAUGUUUCAUGCCCCAUAGAAACAGUAGGCCCUAAGGUGAGUUGAACUCUUGACCUCUUUAUUGUGAGGAGUUGGUCUUCGACAACUGAGCUAUCCCUCUUGGGGUUCAUGAGAAAAUACUGCACAUUGCUUUUCAAAACAAAUUCUGUCAAAGGACCAGGAGAGGUAAGUACUGGAUUCAAAUAUCUUUUUAAUCUUUUUUCCCUUCCAUUUUAUUUUAAAUAAAAUCUUUUGAUGUAUAGAACGAGAUUUUUUUAUACUCACCUUGGAUCAUAGAUAUUAAAAGGUACCUGGCUACUUAUGCUCCAAUUUUUUUGUUCCCAGAAAACAGUUCUAAUAUGCGGCUGCAGGCAGUUAAUUGCAUCAUUCGUACAAUUUCGAUGGGAAGUACUCAACCAAACCAAACCUAACCUCUCGUCCCAGCUCCUAUAGUAUGAAAGGUUCAACGAGUCAUUUGUAUAUUAUUGAGGGUUGUGCAUCAUCUGCUGUUCCACCUAACUCUUAUGAACCUGGGGCAGAAUGUGCUCAAAUUUCUUCCUUAGGGUGUGAUGCAUUGGAUGUGAAAUUAGGGUGUUAUAAAUAGGAAAGUAAAGUAGGAUUGACUGCAGGCAAUGUGAGGGGUUUCUAUGAUGAGUCUCUUUUGUCUUGGCCCUUAGAACUCAUCUUUUGGUCACCUGAAAGCAAACUUUUUUCAUGUGGGCACAUCCCUCAUUGCAUAUUGUUUUGUCCAUUCAAACAGUGAGCCAAUGAACCUUAUAGGACCAUUAGCUGCAUUUCAGCGGAAGAAUCCGCCUACUAAUUAUGUGGUGUAGAUUUGCAUAUAUUACCAAAAGCAAAUGAAUCAUGUUAGUCAAGGAAUUGUAGAUUUUCAUGGUUUUUAAGGUUGUUCAUGAUUCUUUCCCAUUUUCUCUAUACAGGUGAUAGCUGCAAUAACUUAUCAGAUAAUUCCCGGAACGAGGGGAUUGGUUGCCUUCUGCAUGCAGAGUUGAGAAAGAGACUGCAAGAUGCUGGUAUUUGUACAAUAUAAUGUUGGGAGGACAAGGAAUCGGAGGGAUUUUGUCAUAAACAGGUACUUUAAAUGGAACUUAGCAUGAUCAUGGCGUGAAAUUUAUUAAACUAUGACCUUUGUGUCAUUUUGGGACUAGGCUUCCACUUGAAUCAGGGCUGAGACAGCCUGGCUUCCCGAGAUUAGGCUUGGCUUAUCGAAGACUCCAUUGGUUCAUCUCAGGCUUGGUUUGCUCACCUAAGUCCUGUACACAGGUUGAGUUGACCGAGCUCCAAAUGUUAAAAGCCCAUGUAGCAUCCUGAACCUUAGACCUUCUACCAAUGAUGAUCUUGUUUUUAGAUUUUGUCUAUAAAGCAUAAAAUAUAAAUACAAUAAUGUACACUAAUUCGAGCUGCAGGCUCUAUUGCUAAAUGAGCUUAAUCUUGGGUUGUUUCUCAGAUCAUAAGCUGAAAAUAAAAGCUUAGACUCAACUCAAGUGAGACAAGCUUGCUCAGCUCAUGGAAUGUGAUGGUUAUAUGGUUGAUCAUGAUAGGUCUCGCCAAUGAUGGCCUAUAAAUUUAUCGAGUUUGUAUGGUACCUGUACUGACUGAAAAUUACCAAAAGUAGCUACACUAUUCUUUCGUGUUGCUUUACCUAAAAAUUCAAUAAGAAGCCUCUUUAUGCAUCAUGAUUUCAUAAAAAGAAGGUAAUUUCUCGAAGCAGAUUCUGGACCUGAAGGAAUAAUUAAUUUUAGCUAGAGCUAAAUUAGUGAGAUAACUAGUCUCCUAUCUUUCGUUGAGACUCUGGAUAUUUAUUUUAAUUUAACUCUCAUUUCAAUUUUGUGAUGACUGAUUUCUUUACACCUUGUUGAGAGAAAUACCUAACAAAAUACAUCUAGUUACUUCAUGACCUCAGCCUAGUGGUCUUUUCUAGUAGCUGUGCAUCGUUGCAUUUUAGAAACUAGAGAUCUCUACGAUCUUUUGUAAAAUUGAGAUGGGUAUAUAAUUUUUUAUGUUUGAGAUGGACCUUAAAGCAGGGUUUUGUGACAGUUGCAAAAGUGGAUAGCUCGGGUAGAGUUUGCAAACUACCAAUUUAAGCUGACAUCCGGAGGAAAUUAUGAUUUCAUGGUGGUUCCACCCUCGUGGUUUCUCAUCUUAACAAGGAUUUCAGGCUUUUCAGCCUUUAAGCCACUCCUUUGAGUCAAUUUGAGUUUUGCUUACCAUUAAGGGCUCACAGAAAUUCACCUUCAUCUGUUCCUGCUAAAGUUCAAGAACUGGUGGGUGGGGUCAAUUCUUUAAAAGAAGCAUCCAGGGUGAAUCAAAUCAUUACCUAGUCUGAAAGUCCUGAACAUGUAAACUCAUAGAAUGAUGGAUGCUCAGAUGAUGAAGACUUGAAUGGUACGUAGAGUGACCAGAGUCUACCUAUUCUUUAUUGUGGUUUCUUUUAUUUCUAACUGACUAUUUUGACGAGGUAUCAUUGACAAGGCAUCUAUAUUAUGACAAGGUUCUCACCCUAGAGGCCUAGACAUGAUUUCAUAGAGAGUUGCAAAGACUUUGUUCCUUUAAAAGGGGUGGAUUGCAAAGCCAUUGAAGUCUAGUUCAGGAGUAGACUGAAGCGGUAUCACAAUCAGUUGGUACCUCAAUGAGUUUCUAGUCUUGCCCUCAUCCUCGGCAUAGUCAGCGAGAUUUCCGACGCUAAUGGUGGCAUGAAGGACAAGAAUAGUAACGAAGCCACAAAGGAUUAUAAACUUAAUGUUGUUGAAAGUCUUCU